rnacentral:rRNA from 1 species
AUUGAACGCUGGCGGCAUGCCUUACACAUGCAAGUCGAACGGUAACAGGUUAAGCUGACGAGUGGCGAACGGGUGAGUAAUGUAUCGGAACGUGCCCAGUCGUGGGGGAUAACUGCUCGAAAGAGCAGCUAAUACCGCAUACGACCUGAGGGUGAAAGCGGGGGAUAGCAAGACCUCGCGCGAUUGGAGCGGCCGAUAUCAGAUUAGGUAGUUGGUGAGGUAAAGGCUCACCAAGCCGACGAUCUGUAGCUGGUCUGAGAGGACGACCAGCCACACUGGGACUGAGACACGGCCCAGACUCCUACGGGAGGCAGCAGUGGGGAAUUUUGGACAAUGGGCGCAAGCCUGAUCCAGCCAUGCCGCGUGCGGGAAGAAGGCCUUCGGGUUGUAAACCGCUUUUGUCAGGGAAGAAAAGGUUCUGGCUAAUACCUGGGACUCAUGACGGUACCUGAAGAAUAAGCACCGGCUAACUACGUG